UAAAAUAAAAAAAUUAAUUAAACUUAAAAAUAAAUUGUAACAAUUAAGUGAUGCGGACAACCGCAUUAUUUUAUAUAUAUGGAGUAACAGGUUCUUCGCCGCGCCCCGCCACCCGGCCGCGCGACGAGCCGGCGCGAGCGCAAGCGAGACGACAUUCCGCUGCCAAACCUCUUGAGGCACGGACGCUGUCGCUUUGAUAAAUAGCAUACUUACCGUCAUUGCGAAUUAUAAAGCCAUAAAUAAUUAUAAAAUAUUUUGAGACUGGAUUGCUUAUCCAUACUACUAAACUAAAUUAAGUACCUGUAAGUGAUUGUGAUUCCCAAACUUGGGAAUUACGUCACGGUUUCAAUAACCGAACCGGACAACGAACCUGUCACAGCACCUGAGUGGAGUGGCGUCACAGCACCUGAGUGGAGUGGCCGAGCUGACGGAACUACGCCUGGAGGACGGGAGCUCGCCAGGGAAGUGUGGAGAACUAAGCAAGUGCUAAAGACCUAGGCAGACCCUUCAAUUUUUUUAAUAUACCCACAUACUUUAUUAAUUCUAAA